AGCUUUGCAUAGUGGCUAUAUUGUAACCUAUGAGGUUUAGCUGAGGUGUGAUUAUUGCAAGUUGAAAACUUUACCCAGUACCCCACUAUGACGACUUGAAAUAUAGUCAGCUAUGGCAAUUUGUAGCAGUCUCAACAGAGG